rnacentral:lncRNA from 1 species
UGGAUGUGUAGUGGGAAGUGAGGGAGUGAUUUUAGGAGUGAAUUAGGGGAUUAUGGGGGAGAAUAUCCAAAAUCUGAUCACUUUUUCCUUUUUUGAAAAAAAUGAGAGUCGUUUUUCUCUCCAUCUUUCUGAUGUUUUCUCUUCCCCAUCUCUACUGAAUCUUUUUUUAUUCUUUGUUUCUUAUUCGAUUAUCUUUUCUUUUCU